UACAGAGGUCCCAAGCGUUACUGAGAAUCACUGGGUUUAAAGGGUGCGUAGGUGGUCCGUUAAGUCAGUUGUGAAAUCCCCGGGCUCAACUCGGGAACUGCUUCUGAUACUGGCGGACUUGAGGCCAGUAGGGGUCACUAGAACUGACGGUGGAGCGGUGAAAUGCGUAGAUAUCGUUUGGAACGCCAAUGGUGAAAACAGCUUGCUGGGAGUGUGCUGACGCUGAGACACGAAAGCCAGGGGAGCGAACGGG
rnacentral:rRNA from 1 species